AGUAUGGUCAAGGUGUUCUGUGGUAUGGUCGCGCCUGUGGUGUAAUCGUGGUUGGCUAGGAAGUCUAACCAUACGUUGGUUCUUUAUUCUAUGACCAUACGCUGCCGGAGUUCACCAUGAGUCUGACAUCUUUCAGCUUUACUGUGCGGGCUCUUCUGCGAAAGAAAGUUUCGCCACGAAGACUGCGAUGGGAACAAGUGGCAUCCAGCUGCGAGGUGCAGAAGCGGUCAGCGGGUCACUUCACAUUUGUUCCAGACACACCGUCGUCGUCAGAUGGAGAAACGGCACGGUUGAACCUCUAUCAAGCCAUUACUAACGCCUUGGACAUAACGUUGUCCAACGAUCCGACUGCCGUGAUCUUUGGCGAAGACGUGGCUUUCGGUGGCGUAUUUCGGUGCACGGUUGGCCUGCAAGAAAAGUACGGCAAACACCGCGUGUUCAACACGCCGCUGUGUGAACAAGGCAUCGCAGGUUUCGGUAUUGGGAUGGCCGUGGCCGGCGCUACGGCUGUCGCUGAGAUGCAGUUCGCGGACUAUAUCUACCCCGCUUUCGACCAGCUCGUCAACGAGGCGGCUAAAUACCGCUAUCGGUCCGGAGGACUUUUCAACUGUGGUGGCCUGACGGUGCGAGCACCGUGUGGUGCUGUUGGCCACGGCGCCCUGUACCACUCGCAGAGUCCGGAAGCAUUCUUCGCUCAUGUUCCGGGACUGAGGAUCGUCAUGCCGCGUGGUCCAAUUCAGGCCAAAGGUCUUCUGCGGGCAUGUGUCCAGGACCCGGACCCAUGCAUCUUUUUCGAGCCCAAGAUCUUGUAUCGUUUGGCUGUGGAGCAGGUUCCCCUGAAGGACUACACCCUGCCACUUGGCAAGGCGCAGGUCCUACAAGAAGGCGAUGACAUCACUCUCCUUGGUUGGGGCACACAGGUGCACGUUUUGCGGGAGGUGGCUCAAAUGGUGCAAGACAAGCUGAAUGCAUCGUGUGAGCUCGUCGACCUCUGCACACUGAUGCCAUGGGACAAGGAGACUGUGGCCAACGUGGGUUCUUGAUCAACUUUCUGUGCGGAAGACCGGGAGGCUUCUAGUUGCCCACGAAGCACCUCUUACUGCGGGGCUCGGAGCGGAGAUCGCUGCCGCAAUUCAGGAGGAGUGUUUCCUGAGCC
rnacentral:misc_RNA from 1 species